CUCCUGGAGAAGUUCCGCACCACCGUUGGGAAGAAGGCCUACAUUGCCGUCUCCGGCGGCGAGUACUGCCCCUGCGAGGACGCCGCCGGGGUGCUCAAGUGGCCCAAGGGGGUGUGCAAGGAGAGGAGGUUCAAGAUCUUCGACCUGGGUGCUGGAGCCAUCUCGGGGAUUUCCAACUCGGAGGUGCCCCUGCUUCAGACCGUCUACUCCAGCGUCAAGGGGCUGCUCAAGAUCCACAACCCCAGCCUGCUGAUCACCGUCGAUGACCUCGAUCCCAGCGUCAGAAGCGCCUUGAAGAUGGCCGCAGAGGGCAGCGAGAACGGCACAACCUUUGUCGCUCUGCCCAGGUCCGCGGUGCCCAAGGCCCUCUGGAUGGCCGACCUGAGGUCG
rnacentral:lncRNA from 1 species